CAGAACUUUUGACUUCUCAGAGAAAAUCUACUCCCUAUCCAAAAAUGUAUGUUGAAGCUAAUCCUUCAUCACAACUCUUAGUGUAAGACAGAGCUCAGCAAUCUGCAAUCCUUGGGCCCAAAUCCAGCCCACAAUGUGUUUUCAUAAAUAACAUUUCAUUGGCAAACAGCCAUCCUCAUUCAUUGUCUGUGGCUGCUUUCAUGCUACAAUGGCAGAACUGCGUGGCUGUGACAGAAACCAUUUGGCCCACGAAAUCUAAAACAUUUACUAUCUGGUCCAUUACAAAAAAAGUUUGUUGAUUGCUGACCUAAGCCACCAUUGUUUCAUGCCUACCUAACUGUCAUGACCUUCUGCUUCUGUAGAUUUUCUUCCAUUAUUUUUCCUCAUUAUCACCCAGAAGUCGGAAUGAUGUUCUUAAAACACAAAUCAUAUCCUGUCACUCUCCCAAUUACAAAGCUCUAAUUGUUCAAUCAUAUUCGUAAUAAAAGCCACACUCUGUGUUAUGACUUACAGGGCUAUAAAUGAUCAGAACCUAUUCUCCUCUUCAACUUUAUUUCCUACAACCUUUUUUCUAACUCACUAGAUACCAGCCAUGCAGCCUUUUCACUCUUCCUCAAAGAAAGUACUUUCACUUUGCAGGGGCUUUGCACUGAUUUUGCCAUCUGCCUAAAGCACUUGGGGUCCACAUAUCCCUAAGGCUCCUUCUUUUCAUGAUUCGGGUGUCUGCUCCAGUAUCAUCUCCUCUGCUGAAAGAAUGUCAUUUUCCAUUUCACAGGGAUUUUGUCUCUUUCAGUCACUGCCAUGCCCACAGUGGCCUCAUAUUGGAGACUCUCGAUAUAUAACUGUUGAAGGUAUAAAUGGAUGUGUCCUAACAGAGAGAUAAGCAGAAGGGACUGUGGGAACAUAAAGCGAAGAUGCCUAUCACUAAAGGAUGCUUAUGAAGGCUAGAAAAGAAGGGACUCUAGAUGGGGAAGGAGUUUUUUUCAGAAAGGGGGGCAAAUAUGUCCAAAGAUAAAAAUGAUGAGGGAAGGUGACACACUUUGAAGCACAAAUAGAGGCACAUAUAAGAUGAACCAUAGAUAUACAUAUAGAUCAGGAUGGGGGUGGAGUGAAACAGACAUAAAGCAGCUGAUAAAAGACUUUGAAUAUCAGGCUAGGAUGUUUAUACUUUUCUGAGGUCAUUGAGAAAAUUACUGAAAACUAAAUAGAAUUAUAGCAUGAUCAGAAAUACUGAUAUCUGGAGUUACUGUCGUGGCUCAGCAGUAAUGAACCUGACUAGCAUCCAUGAGGACGCAGGUAUGAGCCUUGGCCUCGCUCAAUGGGUUAAGGAUCCAGCAAUGCAAUGAGCUGUGUUGUAGGUCAGAUGUGGUUUGGAUCCCACGUUGCUCUGACUCUGGCAAUUGGACCCCUACCUGGAAACCUCCAUAUGCCGUGGGUGUGGCCCUAAAAAGAUAAAAUGACAAAAAAAAAAAAAAA
rnacentral:lncRNA from 1 species